rnacentral:lncRNA from 1 species
UUGCAUGUGCUCCACCACCACGAUUAAGGGUGGAUCUGAGAGACUGUUGCUAUGUUGCAUUAUCUGUUGUACUUGUUUUAGAUUGAGAAAAUAAGACAAUCAACUAGUAAAGGCUUCUCUUCACCAUGCCAGACCUUUCUUGUUUGGUGUCCCCUAAAGGUGGUUUGAAAAUACAGAGCUGUUUCUUUAUUCCCUAGGGAAUUACAGAAUAGAUCCAAUCAACUGUUUCUUCCUGAAGGCAAAGAGGUAAUGUGGUUUAAGGAAGUGGGAAAGACUUGGAGUAUAUUGCUUGUGAAGCCCAUGUUCUCUAACAGUCAGGUACAAGGGCAAGUCAAAUGACAGGGCUUAUCAGUAUUAGGAGGGUGUUUGGAGAAAUGGUGAGGGGUUGUUGGAUAAUGUGGGUUGUUAUUGUAAUGUGGGGUAUAAUGUAUAUAAUAUAGAUACUAUAAUGGUUGGUUAUUAUUUGUGCUUUCUAAACAAAUCACCUUUUUGGCAACUCUUGACCAACUCCAUAGUUCAAGAACUGAGUUACCGGCAUCUUUGAAACAGUCCUUCAAGGCUCCUCCAUCUUCCCUAAAAUGCAUCAAGAAUCUCAGAACUCCUCUAGGCCUUCUAAAUGGAGAAAUGAGUCUGGUGGGGAGGCAAACAAAGUUUGGCCUGAUGGUGAAGCUUGGAAGUCCUCUAUACGUCCGUCUGCCUUCAGUGGACAGUAUUGUGCAACCAAAUUAAAUCGCCAGGACUGAGUAAAAUGGUUUUUGCUUGCUACUUGCCUACUUCUAGGGUGUUCGUGAGAAGUUACUUACAACUCAAAGGUAAAAUGUUUUUUUUUACAUAAACACACUUCUGUAAUUGCUCAUUAAGGAACUCAAUACUUUUUCUUUAGUGCCUGUACAUAUUUUUGAUGUGUUUCUUCUGAGUCACUUAGUGUGCCCUUGCCCAUUUUUGGUUAAUGAAGUAGUAAUGUAUACUUUUCCUGAACUAGCUGGAUACCAGCCAAUAGCUUCUUUUGUAAUUAUUUCCUAUUCUGUUACUAAUAUCCAUGUGUUUCUGG